GAUCCGGGCCCUUAGGAACCGUUUUUUCUUCUAUUUCCUUCGUAUCGUGGGAGUGCGGCGGGCAGCACUUUUGGAUCUGUUUUUUUCUAUUUUGUUUUUGCUGUGUAUUCGAAUAGAGCUCCACCCCUUCCGGCUUGUUGCGGUUUGAGGAUUUCUGUUGUCCUUCUGGCUUCAUAGUUAUCAUCGGCUGUGGGGAGCGGAAUUGCUCUUGUAGCCGUGUCGUGUUCUGUUCGAAGCUCCGGAGAUUAAGGUCUGUUGCAGCUGGUCCCCGUUUUGUUUGGGCGUUGGUGCUCUCAAGCUGGGCGUUGCGAUGGUGUUGCAAAUUCAACUCAGCGGUGCUUCUCUCUUCUUUUUUUUUUUCCUUUUUUUUCUGGGUGUGUGCUACUGGAGCAAUCCGCAAUAGGUGGUCUGUAUUUUUCGACAUGUGUGUGGCUGCGGAAGAUCUCCAUCCCAUUGAGGAGCUGCGGAGCAGCAUUUCUUUCUUAUAAUCAUUGUGGAGCAUCAAGGUUUGGUGUUGUCGGCACACAGACGUUGGCACUGGAGGCGCAGCUUCGUGUGGUGGGAGUGAUACAUCUCCAACUAAUCGUAUCGGGAAGUCAAAGCUGCGAUGCUGGUAUUCUUGGUUGCGUUUCUUUCCAUUGGUAGAUCAACGAUAGCUUCUCUUAAUUGCGGCAGCCAGGAUUUACCUUGGUGGCCGCUCUGGUUUUCUUUGCCUUGGAUCUUUGCUCUUAGUCCUAUCUUGGUUGGUGUAGUAACGCCGAGGAAUUCUGUGCAAGUCGAUCAAUGUAUUCGGGUGGUGCGACGAGAUAAUAAUGGCACGAUUCAUAUUCUAUUCCUCCCUUGGUGUCGUCGGACGGGUGAAAUUAGGCGGCGCGGUCCAGGUAGAGAGACACCAUGUUUUCCUUGACUUGACCUGCACAUUGGCGGUGCAAGCGAACUCUCUCAACUGAAUUCUUACCGUACUCAAGAAGAGAAGAUCGAUGACUUCACAGGUUGCUUCCACUACUUAAAUCAGCAAAGGAGUUCUUCAACUAGUUCGUAUCAAAAGAUGCGAGAUUCAUCUUGCACAAUUUCAUGGCACUAGGACAUUGAUUUUGCAAGAACGAUUCUUCAAGACGGCAUGAGCACAAGAUCAAGGUUUACCAUUUUUUUAAGCAAGAUCAGCAUUCGGAAACAAGUCAGCGGAAGGAGAGAAAAAGCAUGGUUGAUUGGCAUCGGACACAUCUAUUUCUUGAAAUUAUAAGACACAAGAAUUGGAGUACAGUUUAAAAGAUCACAGGAAGCAUCGACCCUGGAACUGCUAAUACACAUGAAAGUCAACAAAAAAUCUUGCAAAUGCAACAAAAAAGGUUGAGGCUUUUUAUCAACAUUCAUUGAAACCAAGAUGAAAAAAAUAAGAUGUAUAAAAGAUGAUGACCACUCUUUGUAAAACUUAUUUUUAGAAGGGAGGUAAUGUCACUAAUAUACAUAUUUACUCAAAUAAUUAUAUGUAUAAUUAGGUAGAAGUAGAUAAACAUAGAUCAAUUUCAUAGUAACUUUUAGAAAAGAUUUUUAGAAGCUUGAUAGAUGCAAUUUUGACUUUAUAUGUAUUUUUAGUUGAUUGAUAAGUUAAAAAUUUGAUCAACAAGUUAAUCAUGUAUCACACAUAUUGAUAGCUUGUAGAACAAGCUAAUUAUGUGGCAUACAUAUAGACAACUUACCUUGCAAGUUAAGACAUGUCUUGCAAAGCCAAUAUGCAUUGGAGGUCCUCUAGCAUAUCGCCAUGUAACUCCUAUUUAGAGAAUAUAUAUUGAGGCAAGAAUAAAGCUUUCUUCACUCUUGUCAA